AUCAUUAUCGUACAACCUGAGGCACGGAGGGCUGUCGCUGACCUUUUAAAGGUCGUGCACGCCCAAAGUGCUCUCACACAUCCAUCUCACCCCUCUGUGCAUCACCGCGUGGGCACGCUCCCCCUUUUGACUUAGUUUCUGAGGGGAGGGUGUUCACGUUUUUACACACACACCUUUAAUGCAAGUGUAGAAUGUUUUACUUUUUGCAAUAACAUGCAAUACAAUACAACUUUCAACAACGGAUCUCUUGGCUCUCACAUCGAUGAAGAACGCAGCGAAAUGCGAUACGUAAUGUGAAUUGCAGAAUUCAGUGAAUCAUCGAAUCUUUGAACGCACCUUGCGCCCCUUGGCAUUCCGAGGGGCACACCCGUUUGAGUGUCGUGACAUCCUCAACCUUCUUGGUCUUUUUGACUUUAGAAGGCUUGGACUUGGGGGGUUUUUUUUUGCUGGCCUUUAUUUUUAAAGCCAGCUCCCUCUAAAUGCAUUAGUGGGGUCUACAUUGUCAAUCCUCGACGUUGAUAAGAUGCUUCUACGUCUUGGUUUACCUUUUGUAGCCUGCUUCUAACCGUCUCAUUAGAGACAAGUGGCUCAAGUUUUCACUUGAACCCCACAAACCUUUGACCUCAAAUCGGGUGAGACUACCCGCUGAACUUAAGCAUAUCAAUAAGCGGAGGAAAAGAAACUAACAAGGAUUCCCCUAGUAACUGC
rnacentral:rRNA from 1 species